UGACGGCUGUUCCUCUCACUCCUUGGAGCCUUAAGUAGUGGGAUUUUAGUCUGUCAUAUAUCUAACCUGACUUGUCUUCACUCAGGGCACCAUGAGGAUGGGUUGGCUGUCCGUUAGUGCCAUCUGAUUUUUGCGGAGUCAAACAAUU
ensembl:snoRNA small nucleolar RNA, H/ACA box 79B